rnacentral:rRNA from 1 species
UACGUAGGGGGCAAGCGUUAUCCGGAAUUACUGGGUGUAAAGGGAGCGUAGACGGUAAUGUAAGUCUGGAGUGAAAGGCGGGGGCCCAACCCCCGGACUGCUCUGGAAACUGUGUAACUUGAGUGUCGGAGAGGUAAUCGGAAUUCCUUGUGUAGCGGUGAAAUGCGUAGAUAUAAGGAAGAACACCAGUGGCGAAGGCGGAUUACUGGACGAUAACUGACGGUGAGGCGCGAAAGCGUGGGGAGCAAACAGG